rnacentral:misc_RNA from 1 species
CAACCAGAAACAGCACUUGAGAUGGUGGAGUUGGAUGAUGCAGAUUUAAAAGAAUCUAAUGAUCUGCAAACUUCUGCAAGUCUACCGUCUGAGCUUGAUAUUGCAGAUGGAAUUAUAGAGGAUGAUGUAUUGUUGGACAGACAGCUCGAUGAAUUAGAAGGAGCGGGACAAUUUGCUGACAAUUUGUGUACUCUUAGCUCUACAAAACAGAAAAAGAGAGUCAGAAAAACUAAAGCCAAAUGGAAGUUGCCAACCGAAGCUCAAGAGCUGGAAUUCUGCAAUACUAAUGAAGAAAUAUCUCCCAGUUUGAACAAAUAUUGGUGUCAAAGGUAUCUAUUAUUUAACAAAUAUGAUGAUGGUAUAAAGAUGGACGGAGAAGGAUGGUUCUCAGUUACUCCAGAGGCCAUAGCCAAGCAUCAUGCACUUCGCUGUGGUUCUGGUACUAUAGUGGAUCUCUUUACUGGAGUUGGUGGGAAUUCAAUUCAAUUUGCUAUGAGGAGUAAGCAUGUCAUUGCAAUCGAUAUUGAUCCAAAGAGAAUAGACUUAGCUCAAUAUAAUGCUGCCAUCUAUGGAGUUCGUGACCAGAUAGACUUUAUUAGAGGUGAUUCUUUUGUUUUGGCUCCUAAUUUGAAGGCGG